GCCCGCCUAGCUCAAUCGGAUAGAGCGUCAGACUUUUAAAACAGGGCAUCUGAAGGCUGCGAGUUCGACCCUCGCGGUGGGCU